AGAGUUUGAUCCUGGCUCAGAACUAACGCUGGCGGCGUGUCUUAGUCAUGCAAGUCGAACGAGAAAGCGUUCUUCGGAACGUGAGUACAGUGGCGGACGGGUAAGUAACACGUGGGGAACCUGCCCUCAAGCUGGGAACAACCCGCCUAACGGCGGGCUAAUACCGAAUGUGGUUGUCAGUCCGCAUGGUAUGACAACUAAAGGUGGCCUCUCCUUGGAAGCUACCGCUUGUGGAUGGCCCCGCGCUCAAUUAGCUAGUUGGUAGGGUAACGGCCUACCAAGGCGACGAUUGAUAGCCGACCUGAGAGGGUGAUCGGCCACACUGGGAUUGAGAUAAGGCCCAGUCUCCUACGGGAGCCAGCAGUCUAGAAAUUUGGGCAAUGGGCGAAAGCCUGACCCAGCGACGCCGCGUGGGGGAUGGAGCUUCUCGGAGUGUAAACCCCUGUUAGGUGGGACGAAAGCCCGUAUACGAAUAGUAGGCGGGUUUGACGGUACCACCAGAGGAAGCUCCGGCUAACUCCGUGCCACCAGCCGCGGUAAUACGGGGGGGAGCAAGCGUUGUUCGGAGUUUAUUGGGGCGUAAAGGGCGUACAGGCGGUGGUGUCA
rnacentral:rRNA from 1 species